AAAAAAAUCUAAAUCCAAAAUUUCUAAUCAAUGUUUUUAAAGGACCUCUUUAACUAGAUAGGCUAUGUUUAGGACUAUUUUAUUAUAAACUUUUUCUAAAAUGGUAUUUUUGAACUGUGUUGAUAAUUUUUGGAAUCUUAAAUGCUUUUGACAUAGUCUAAUUCUAUUUCUUAACACAUAAUAGGAAUUCAUCAAACCAGAUUUGUUUUAGAAUCUGAGGAAACCAUGCUUUCUAGCCUUUCCAUUCUGUAGAUUGCUUAGCAUAUUGGUUAGUUCUGAUAGGGAUUACUCCUUAAAAGCAGCCUGGGGGUUCUAUAGGCAGUCUGUUUUUAAGUAUGUUGAAUUGUUUAAGGAAAGGUCUGAUAUAAGCAUGGCUUAUUUAAAUAAAAAUUGACUUGGAGUUUCACCUUCAGGUAGCACUAUAAAUUUGAACUCCUUAAGAUGUUUUUCAUGCUCUAAAAUUCUAAUCCCUAAGGUAAAUAUCUAAGAUGCUAGGAACAAUUUAAAUAUAAUUUUACUGUACCUGCGUUUCUGUUAAGCAGAUCAUAGAUCGUAGAGCUUUAGGAUAACUUCUUUGUUCCUCUUAAAACCCUGAGGGGUGGAGUGGGGGAUGUGUAAGUGAGCAGUGUGCCUAAUCUUCCUUCCUCUCUCUCAAGUGAUCACUCAAUUUUUGAAUUGCUAUUGGUUGUAAUAGGGCCAAGAUAACAGCUACUUGCAUUUGUAUUCAUUUUGGUUCACAUUUAUGAGCAGGUUUGCUACUAUGUUUGUGGCACCUUUCCCUGUGAAACUUUUGUUAAUAGGAUAUUCCUCUUCACUUAUCUUUAAAAUGAAUAAAUGAGAGAAAUACAAGUCCUUGGAGAUAGAAUUUAUGGUAAAAAAAAAAAAAAACUCAGUUCUUUAUGAUAGUCGGUAUCUGUCAUAUAGUUGAACAUGAAGCACAUUUGAGCUUCUGGGUAAAGAACGUGAUGCCAAGAAUCAUAGGGAUGAAAAGAUGAAGCAAACGCAGUACUCACUUACCAUGAACAUUUGGAGCAGCCAGUGUCUCCAUCCAUAGAAUCUCGAAUGAACCCCUAUUGUGGCAGUUAUGAUGCCUUGUAGUUUGGUUGAAAUGCUUUUGCCUUGCAUUAGUCUAUAAAUUCCUUAAAUAUAAAAUCUUUAUUGCUUAGUACAGGGCUUGGUGGAUACUCAGUGAAUAUUUGUUAAAAGAAUGAAAAGCUGUGUUUCUCAAAUGGGGUAUAAAUCAGAAUCACAUGUGGAGCUUUUUUAAAAAAAAUUCGAUAACUCAGUAGUUCUCACCCCUCAGUCUCCAGGAUUGGGACUUGGGUAUGUGUAUAUUAAUGUAUAUUUUUAACAUUUUAUUAUGGAAGAUUUCAAAGAUAUAAAAGAAUAAACAGAAUAGUAAAGUAAACCCCUUGUAUGCAUCACCCAGUUUAAAUGGCAUCAACAUUUAGCUGAUUUUAUUUCACCUAUCCUCCCAACAUUUCUUUUGCCUGGAGUAUUUAAAAAAAACAAAUGUAUUUUAAUAGGAAAUUUCAAACGUGCAUAAGAGUAGAAUAGUAUAAUGAGCCUGUAUGUACCUAUUGCCCUUGGUGUAGUGUAUUAAAGCAAAUUCCAGACAUUAUGUCACUUUACUACUAAAUAGGGCAUAUCUAUAUUUUUGUAGCCUCUGUAGGAGAUUCUGAUGCACUGUCCUGCUUUAGAUAAUAUAAACAUAGGGAAAAAUAGUAUCACAGCCAAAGGGCUAUGGGAUUCAGAGGCAAGAACAAUUUCAUUUGGUUUAGUGGAUCUGAGGUGUAAGGGAGGAAAUUUAUCUUUUCCUCGCCUAUCACUAGAUUCAUGGCUGAGGUCUCUCUAACAGAAGACCAACUAUCAAGAGAAAUUUCAACAUAGAAAUUUAUUUAGUAAGUUUUACUUGACACAGGAGCCUUCAUAAAACAUACCUGUGUAUGUUUUCUGUUAGUUAUGGUAUGGAAGAGGAUAGUUAAUGGAGAAGCAUAAUUAGAUAAAACAGUAUGAUCUAAUAAUAAACUGGGAAGAACUUAGCAAGGCCUGUUUGUUCAGAUUUUUCUCUGUGACCCUUCAUAUUCAGACUUAAGGAUGUUCUUUUCCUCUGUGUAUAGAGAGGGCACCUCUUAAAUGAGGGUCUUAUGACCUGCAUCAGCGGAAGGUCAGAAAAUCUUUCCUAGGUUUUAUGACCUGCUUCAGGAGAGAAGGUGAGAGUGACCUUCCUGAUUCUGCCAUUUUCUCAAAUAUUGAGUUGCCAUAUUUUGGGAUAGCAUGUCCUGAACCCCAUCAAAUGCUUCAUGAGGAUAGUUUUUUGUUUGUUUGUUUUGGUUUUGGUUUAUUUAUUUGCAUAAAGCAUGCAAAUGUGUAAUUUUAGUGUACAAUUCAAUGUUUGGGUUUUGUUUUUGUUUUUGUUUUUUUGGUUUUUUCUGAGACGGAGUCUCGCUCCGGCUGGAGUCUCACCCAGGCUGGAGUGCAGUGGUGUGACCUUGGCUCACUGCAACUUCCUCCUUCUAGAUUCAAGUGAUUCUCAUGCCUCAGCCUUCUGAGUAGCUGGGAUUACAGGCAUGUACCACCAUGCCUAGCUAAUUUUUGUAUUUUUUUUUUUUUUUUUUUUUUUUUUUAGUAAAGAUGGGGUUUCACCAUGUUGGCCAAGCUGGUCUCAAACUCCUGACUUCAGGUGAUCCACCUGCUUCGGCCUCCCAAAGUGCUGGGAUUACAGGCGUGAGCCACUGUGCCCGGCCUCAAUGUAUUUUUACAUAUAUUUGUACCUAUAUAUCUGUCUAUAUGCACAUUCAAACACAUAUCCUUCUAACUCCCACUCAGGUCAAGAUACAAAAGAUAUCCAAAAUUGUAAAGAGUUCCUUUUUGCCCCUUCCUAGUCAAAGAAGGGGAAGAAGUAAGGAAAAGAGCAAUAUGGAUGUUUAAAAAUGAGAAGGUGAGAAUCUUAUAGAUGAGUAGGUCUCUGGUACAGAAGUCUUAGUGGAGAGUUGGUACUGGAAUCCUGGUCUAAGGUAUUAGGUUUUAAUUUGCUAGACAAAGAAAACUCAAGCAGUGCUGUCUAGGAGUGUUAUGUAAGCUAGAUUGGACUUUAGAGUCAGGAGACCAUGCGGGAAGAUACUGUGUGAUAAGGGCCUGAAACAUGUUGGUUACAGUGAGACUAGAAAUGGGAUAAAUCCAGAGCUGUUUCACCAGUAGACUUGCCUGAAUAUCCUGUCUGACUGAGUAUGGAUCAGAAAGAAAAGAAGGGGUGAUGGGAAACAAGCCUAGAUUGACUAGAGAAACCUAGAAAUAGAAAAAUCGGGAAGGCAAAGUGAUUUGGAUGAUAAUGCCAUAUAUUCAGUUGUCCCUGGUGGCCAGAUAUUAUAGUAUAGAUAUUAUACAGGCAAAGAAGAACAGAGGGAUAGAGUGUGAAGGUACAGAUUUUGAGUUUAAGCACAUUAGGGGGCUUAGUGUUCUGGAUGAAGAAAACAUAUAAAAGUUAUUGUAUGUUAGGUAUUGUUUGCAAAAGAGUAGAAAAUGGAGAAAUAACCCAGUGGGUUAAAGAAGAAACGGACUAAAUAAACAAACCUGAGUAAGUUGUUCCUAAAUUUUAUUUUAGAGACAAUUCCUCAUUUUGCUUUAGUUUUCUCAAUUAUUGCCUCACUUUUCUGUUUCUUUCUGUGUCAGCAUACAUGGAAAAAGGAGUUAAUUUUAGAUUCAAAACAAAAACUGGAAAAAAAAAGUCUGAAAUGGGUAAUACCUAGGACCUAGUAUAUAUGUGUUAUUAAGGCUCUAUCCCUGAAUUUUUAAUGCAGUUAUCUAUUUUUCAUGGAUUCUUUGUUUAUUCCCCAUAAGGAACACCUGGGUUUGGAGAGUGGGAAGGUAGAUGAGAAAACCCAAGUGACAAAUAAUGUUUAGUUUAUUAUUAGAACCAACUAUGAGUUGUGACCCUUAUCUUCUGCACUGGGAAUUACAGAUUUUUUCAGGGUUUUUCUAACAUGAAAAGAGUUUAUUGGUGUAGGAAAACAUCUGGUUCCAAAAUGUAGAUCAUCCUUCUUGAGCUUUAAUUUUUAAAGCCUUUUUUGUCUCAUACUGGAGUUUAUUGUACCCCUUAAAAAUAUUAAGUCACAUAUUUAACCUGUUAAAAGCAAAAAUCAUUAUAAAAAUCUUUAGGCUGGGUGUGGUGGCUUAUGCUUGUAAUCCUAGCGCUUUGACAGGCCAAGGUGGGUGGAUUACUUAAAACCCAGGAGUUGUAGACCAGCCUGGGCAACAUGGUGAAACCCCAUUUCUGCAAAAAAUACAAAAAAUUAGCCAGGCAUGGUGGCAUGUACCUGUAAUCCCAGCUACUCGAGAGGCUGAAGUGGGAGGAUUGCUUUAGCUUGGGAGUUCAAAGCUACAGUAAGCCAUGAUUGUGCCACUCUACUCCAGCCUGGGCAACAGAGUGAGACCCCAUCUCAAAAAAAUUUAUUCAGUUAAAAUCUUUAACAAUAAAGCAAUUUUGAGUCGUAUUUUGCGACAUUCUCAAUAUAGUUUUCCAACUUGCAUUAAAAUACAUUUUAAACAUUUUUGAAGACUAAAUUUAUUUUUUUUUAACUGACAGUUAUGUUUCAUUUGACAACCUUUUGCUGUAUAUUUUUAUGUGGACUUUUAGGUAUUGUAGUGAUUCCUUUAAUGAAGAAAUAAAAUAAUUGUCAUUUAAAAAUGCAUAUUAUUAUUACCUUAUGCUAUAAAAAUAGUUUUAAAAUAGAGUAUGUUUAUUAAGAUUUAAAAAUAAGUAUAGUCAUGCACUGCAUAACAGCGUUUUAGUCAGACUGCAUAAGAUUACGAUGGAGCUGAAAAAUUACUGUCACACAAAUACUUACCAUUGUGUUAUUAUUUCGAUACACUGUUCAGUACAGUAACAUAUAUGCUGUACAGGUUUGUAGCCUAGGAGCAACAGGCUAAUACAGCAUAGCUUAGGUGUGUAGUAGGUUAUACCAUCUAGGUUUGUGUAAGUGCACUAUCAUGUUUGUAUAACAACAAAAUUGCCCAACAGCUCAUUUCUCUUUAUGUAUCCAUGACUGUAUAUUUUUUAUUGUGGUAAAAAACACUUAACGUGAGACCUACCUUCUUCCACAAAUUUUUAAGGGUACAAUAUAGUAUUGUUAACUGUCUGUACAUUGUUAUAUAGCAGAUCUCUAGAACUUUUCAUCUUGCAUGACUAAAAUUAUACCCAUUGAACAGCACCUCCCAAUUUUCGUCUCCCUCUCACCCCUGGUAACCACCAUUUUACUUUCUGAUUUGAUGAGUUUUACUGUUUUAGACACCUGAUAUUAGUGGAUUCAUGCAAUAUUUGUCCUUCUGUGACUGGCUUAUUUCACUUAGUGUAAUGUCCUCAAGAUUCAUCCAUGUUGUAGUAUAUGACAGGAUUUUUUUUAAGGAUACAUAAUAUUUGGUUGUAUGUAUAUUACCACAUUUAUUUUAUCCAUUCAACUGUCCUGGACAUUUAGGUGGUUGUUAGUGUCUUGGCUGCUGUGACAAAAUAAGUAGUUUUAAAAGUCUCACAUUUGCAAGUUCAAUUUGAAUCUUUUUUUAGUCUGCUUGUACUUCUCUUAUCAAGCAAGAAAGCACUUUUCCGCUUUUCCUAUUACUACUAACAGUGGAGAUUAAGUAUCUCAUGUUUUUGGGCGUUCUAGAGCCCAACACAUCACCUGUUCCUUUCCAUACUACCACAACUGACACUCUCUGGAAAGUGCCACCUCCCUGCAGCAGGCCAACCAGCACAAAAAUAGUACAUUAAACCAGCAAAGCUAAGAACCCUCAAAGAGUACAUUUCACCCUCCUACCACCUCCACUGGAACAGGUGCUGGUAUCCACAGCUGAGAGACCCACAGAUGGUUCACAUCUCCCGACUCUGUGCAGACUACCCCCCAGUACCAGCCUGGAGCCUGGUAGACUUGCUGGGUGGCUAGAUUCAGAAGAGAGAGAGCAAUCACUACAGCUCAGCUCUCAGGAAGCCACAUCCAUAGGAAAAGGGAGAGAGUACUACAUCAAGGGAACACCCCGUAGGACGAAAGAAUCUGAACAACAACCUUCAGCCCUAGACCUUCUCUCUGACAGAGCCUACCCAAAUGAGAAGGAACCAGAAAACCGACCCUGGUAGUAUGACAAAACAAGGUUCUUUAACACCCCCCAAAAAAUCACACUAGCUCACCAGCAAUGGAUCCAAACUAAGAAGAAAUCCCUGACUUACUUGAAAAAGAAUUCACUAGGUUGGUUAUUAAGCUAAGGCACCAGAGAAAGGUGAAGCCCAAUGUAAGGAUAUA